rnacentral:rRNA from 1 species
UACGUAGGGUCCGAGCGUUGUCCGGAAUUACUGGGCGUAAAGAGCUCGUAGGUGGUUUGUCGCGUUGUUCGUGAAAACUCACAGCUCAACUGGGGGCGUGCGGGCGAUACGGGCAGACUGGAGUACUGCAGGGGAGACUGGAAUUCCUGGUGUAGCGGUGGAAUGCGCAGAUAUCAGGAGGAACACCGGUGGCGAAGGCGGGUCUCUGGGCAGUAACUGACGCUGAGGAGCGAAAGCGUGGGGAGCGAACAGG